rnacentral:tRNA from 1 species
AAAUAAGAAGCAUACUUAUGCAUUUAGUUUCGACCUAAAAGAAGAUAUAAAACUAUCCUUAUUUA